GCCGGUUUAGCUUAGUGGUAGAGCGUUGCACUUGUAAUCCUUGGGAUGAACACCCAGGUCAGCAUGCAAAGGUCGGUUGUUCAAUCCAGCCAACCGGCA
rfam:Moniliophthora roreri MCA 2997 sctg_0068_0003, whole genome shotgun sequence.